rnacentral:lncRNA from 1 species
UGAAAGUCGAUUGGGUAUUAUUUCUAUAGUUAUUUUUUUUCAAUAAUAAUUUGUCUAAUUAUCGUCAAUCGAUUUCAACAAGAUCUCCCAGUCCCAGCUGGCGUUUCGCAGCUAACGCUGUCAUCAGUUAAACGAACUUAUGGGAGAACCUGUAAAAAACCUACUAGUCACUGAAACCAGUAGAAGCUAGAAGAAGACAGUAUUGUCUCUACUGAAUAUGAGAACGAAAAAAAACGUCUGAGUGCCAUAUCUUUCGUUGAUUGUUGGGCCAUCUGUAGCCUGUCUAUCGAAUAUUGAUGCUUCUUCGACGACCCACAGUUACGAUUGAAGAUAGUCACAGUUCUGGAACUCUUUUGGGACAGCAGCGUCUCUAUAGAAUAUGACGAAAACGCCGCAAAUUUGAAGAAAAAGCGUGCCAUCGUUCAUUGUUGGACCGUCUUUAGCCAGUCUAUCGAAUAGUGAAGCUUCUUCGACUAGAUUACCCACAGUUCUGAUGGAAGAAAGUCGAAGUUCUAAUACUCCUGUAGGAGACAGCAUCGUCUCUAUUGAAUAUGACCAGAAUGACCCAGGAUCGAAGAAAAAGCAUAUAGUACCGCCGUUGAUUGUUGGACCAUCUCUAGCUUGUCUUAUUUUUCUUUUCAGAAUUAUCAUCCUGUUGGAGUAAUAUUGUAGGAUAGAAUAGAAGUCACUGUAUGUUAUCACCAAACGCUAUCAAUCUCCAGUAAAAGAAGUGCUGAUAGGUAGUUACUUACAUUUAAUUUUAACAAGAUCCGGUGUGACGUGGGGUGGCGGGGCGAAGCCUCCGCCGCACCAAAGUCACGCCUUACCCUUACGCCGCGCCAUAUCAU